rnacentral:pre_miRNA from 1 species
GCUUAUUUGUGUCAAGAUGGUGUUCAGCACCAAGGACAGGUAUGUUUACAUGUGUGUGGAUGGUGUUCAGCACCUGGGACAGGUGUGUUUGCUU